rnacentral:rRNA from 1 species
GACGUAGGGCGCGAGCGUUGUCCGGAUUUAUUGGGCGUAAAGAGCUCGUAGGCGGCUUGUCGCGUCGACUGCGAAAAACCCGCGGCUCAACCGCGGGCCUGCAGCCGAUACGGGGCAGGCUAGAGUUCGGUAGGGGGAGACUGGAAUUCCUGGUGUAGCGGUGAAAAUGCGCAGAUAUCAAGGAGGAACACCGGUGGCGAAAGGGCGGGUCCACCUGGCGGCGAUACUGACGCUGAGGGAGCGAAAAGC